rnacentral:rRNA from 1 species
AUUGAACGCUGGCGGCAGGCCUAACACAUGCAAGUCGAACGGUAACAGGAAGAAGCUUGCUUCUUUGCUGACGAGUGGCGGACGGGUGAGUAAUGUCUGGGAUACUGCCUGAUGGAGGGGGAUAACUACUGGAAACGGUAGCUAAUACCGCAUAACGUCGCAAGACCAAGGAGGGGGACCUUCGGGCCUCUUGCCAUCGGAUGUGCCCAGAUGGGAUUAGCUUGUUGGUGGGGUAACGGCUCACCAAGGCGACGAUCCCUAGCUGGUCUGAGAGGAUGACCAGCCACACUGGAACUGAGACACGGUCCAGACUCCUACGGGAGGCAGCAGUGGGGAAUAUUGCGCAAUGGGCGCAAGCCUGAUGCAGCCAUGCCGCGUGUAUGAAGAAGGCCUUCGGGUUGUAAAGUACUUUCAGCGGGGAGGAAGGGAGUAAAGUUAAUACCUUUGCUCAUUGACGUUACCCGCAGAAGAAGCACCGGCUAACUCCGUG